rnacentral:rRNA from 1 species
AAUCAACGCUGGCGGCGUGCCUAACACAUGCAAGUCGAACGAGAAAGUGACUUCGGUCACUGGAUAGUGGCGUCCGGGUGAGUAACACGUGGGUAAUCUACCCUCGGGUGGGGAAUAACGUCUCGAAAGAGACGCUAAUACCGCAUAAUGCAGCGGCACCUAAUGGUGAAUAGUUGUUAAAGCGGGGGAUCGCAAGACCUCGCGCCUGAAGAGGAGCCUGCGGCAGAUUAGCUAGUUGGUGAGGUAAUGGCUCACCAAGGCUUCGAUCUGUAGCUGGUCUGAGAGGACGGCCAGCCACACUGGCACUGACACACGGGCCAGACUCCUACGGGAGGCAGCAGUGGGGAAUUUUGGGCAAUGGACGAAAGUCUGACCCAGCAACGCCGCGUGAGGGAGGAAAUCCUUCGGGAUGUAAACCUCGCAAGCAAGGGAAGAAUGCUUGAGACCUAACACGUCUCAAGAGGACGGUACCUUGCGUAAGCCACGGCUAACUACG